GUUGAGUGUGUGAUAACCACAUUCCUGCAAACCAGCCCAUAUGGUCCAGACCUGUACUCCUGUGUAGAGUCCCACAGAACUUUUCAGGCAUGAAGAAAUCUCAAACUGUAAUCUGAUUACAAGGAAGGCUCAUAGGACAGAUUUCCAUGGGUAUGGAAGGCACAGGUGCUCAGGAGCACAGGAAGAGACAGCAGUGGAAAGCACUGAUGCUUCUUAGUCUUCUCUUCUGAUAAACAUCAGAACAUUAAACAAAUGAAGACCUCUAGGAUUCCUCUCCUGAUGACUGAGAUUUGCUCACAUUGCACAGACGGUGUCUGGACAUCUGUGACUGAAUUUCAAUCCAAGUGUGCAUCAACAGGGAUGGAAUUUAUCAUUUAAGGUGCAGCAGCAUUUCUGCUCAGGCAGUAGAGGGAGCCAAUUGACUUCAUGGCUGCUUAUGCCUGUGAGAGGGGAACUGCCUCCCAAGAAAAAGAAAAAAACCAUCAAAGAUGCAGCAGAUGAGUAGGAGCAGCACCUGAACCAUCUUGGUGGUGCUGAAUUCAGAUCUCACCCUGACGUCACUGGGGAGCAAGGCACCAUCCAAG
rnacentral:lncRNA from 1 species